UAUAUAAUACAUUAUCGUUAACUGCAGUCACCAUGCUGCACAACUGAUCACUCAAACUUCUUCCUCCUCUAUCCCGGAAUUUCUUAAGACUGAUUCAGACUGUAAUGUGCCUGGGAAUCAACGUAUUCCUUAAGGAAAACUCUAAAACCAUGACAUAUUUAAGCCUACUGUAUGAACCGAAAAAGCAUUCUAAGAGGAAGUAUCCCACAUAUACACUGUCAAAUCACAAGAAUAGACGUCCAUGAAAGCCAUGAUUCCUAACAUUCAGCCCUCAUUCAGGAUACUGUAUCCUGCACAACUCCAUGCAUACAUUCUUUCUUGAAAUCAGUGAAAACUCCACGUGAAACAGAACUGAAACAGACAAGACAGCCCCGCAGCGCAGAUUGAACUACAGAGACCUGAGAGACGUCAGAAGUCACUGAGUCACAGGGGCCUUGGAAAAGACCGAAGAGGGGGGUGACUGAACUUAAGGAAUUUGCCAGGCAGAAUCAAUCAAUCAAGAGGCCAGCUUUGCACUUACAUAUUCCAGGCACAUCUCCGCACUUCAGGAUACGAGAUCACAGUGUUAUCCAGCCAAAUUUGAUCAACAAAUGCAGUUCCCCUGUGCCACAGCAAUCUCAGAUGAAGAUGUUAUUAUGUGGAACUGAGCAAAGUGAUAAAGACAGUACAGCAGAGCCUGGAGAAGCCCGGCUGGACCGCACUGACAGCUUUUAUAUACGAAGGCGGUGAUGUCCCUUUCUUCCAGAUUAUAAAAGUUCCCUGGAUUUGAAGAAAAUCACGCUGUAUAUACACAGGUGACCCCCAACCAUUGCGUUUCCCCAUCUAUAACUAAAAUCCUCAAGGAAGAAACAACAUACAUUAUAACAUUGCAGGCAAAAUCCUUGAAUAACAGGGCAGUAUUUAAAGCGUAAGAGAGCACGCGUGAAUUUUCAGAGAGCUUUUCUGAUAGUUUCUUGUUGAUGUUGUUAUUAUUAUUUAUUAUUAUUAUUUGGUGAAAGCUAAUGUC